rnacentral:lncRNA from 1 species
UUAUAUUGUAAAUCAAGUAUUCCCACAUAGUGCAAUCAAACUUUAUGAUCCUAAAUCUAAAAAUUUCUUUAAGGUAAAUGAUCAAAGAUUAAAACCAUACAUAGAAGGCAUAUCAUUAAAUCAAAAUAUUGACCAAAUAGCAUUAACAGACCCACACUAAACUGAACAGCAUGGUCUGGCUGAAGACGAUAAACUUAGUGCUUCCUGGG